UAAUUUACAUUUUCCCUGCUUCAUCCUUCCUAACCAUUUAUUUGAUAUUCCAACUAGGGAACAACACUAUGUGACAGGAGGCAUUGUCAACUGGGAAGGGAGAGGUAAAUAGUUCCUUAUGGAGGCUUUGAAUUCAGGGAAGGACCUCUCCAAGUAAUGACAUUAUUGAUACAGAAAAGUUGCUUAGAUCUUAUUGGCCAUUCAUUAAUUUGGCUAAUUUUCUUGAACCUAAAUGGAAAAUUAAUUGAAUGUCAAGUGUUCCCUUAGCGAAUAUACCUUGUGAUGGAAAAUGCUGCAAAAUGAAGUUGAAUCCUGACAAAGAUAGAAUCAUUAUAGAGUCACUUUACGGAUCUGGGAGCAGAAGUAUACUAUGGGGAGAGGUAUUUGACUGGAAGUGACCUCUGGAUGCCUUGACCAUGCCUUAAGUACCUGGGAGGCGGAGCUGAGGAAAUAUAAAGAGCCUUGGUGGCGCAGCAGACUAAAGCACUGUUAAGUAACACCA